GGGCUACACACGUACUACAAUGGCCGGUACAAAGGGCAGGCCACUCAGCGAUGAGGCGCUAAUCCCAUAAAGCCGGUCUCAGUCCGGAUCGCAGUCUGCAACUCGACUGCGUGAAGUUGGAAUCGCUAGUAAUCGUAGAUCAGCAUGCUACGGUGAACACGUUCCCGGGCCUU
rnacentral:rRNA from 1 species